rnacentral:rRNA from 1 species
UACGAAGGGGGCUAGCGUUGCUCGGAAUGACUGGGCGUAAAGGGCGCGUAGGCGGCUUGCACCGUCAGAUGUGAAAUCCCUCGGCUUAACCGGGGAACUGCGUCUGAUACUGGAUGGCUUGAGUUUGGGAGAGGGACGCGGAAUUCCAGGUGUAGCGGUGAAAUGCGUAGAUAUCAGGAGGAACACCGGUGGCGAAGGCGGAUCUCUGGGCCUGUCCUGACGCUCAGGCGCGAAAGCUAGGGGAGCAAACAGG